rnacentral:rRNA from 1 species
AUACGUAGGUGGCAAGCGUUGUCCGGAAUUACUGGGUGUAAAGGGCGUGUAGGCGGGAAGAUAAGUCGGAUGUGAAAUCCCAGAGCUUAACUCUGGAGCUGCAUCUGAAACUAUUUUCUUGAGUACUGGAGAGGAAAGUGGAAUUCCAAGUGUAGCGGUGAAAUGCGUAGAGAUUUGGAGGAACACCAGUAGCGAAGGCGGCUUUCUGGACUGUAACUGACACUGAGGCACGAAAGCGUGGGGAG